rnacentral:ncRNA from 1 species
UUCAAUCGCAUAUGUAAACAAUUGCUGUUCCAAUUCAGCGGCGAGCAAAAUGGGAACAGCCUAAACCGUGAAAACAGGGUUGUGGGAGAGCUAAGGAAGUGUUGUGUUGCUAGACAAAGCAGUUGAGUCGUACACCCUAGAUGGUGAAAGUCCAGUAACCAAAAGCAGCACUANNNNNNNNNNAGCCUAAACCGUGAAAACGGGGUUGUGGGGGAGCUAAAUAAGUGUUGUGUUGCUAGGCGAAGCAGUUGAGUCCUGCACCCUAGAUGGUGAAAGUCCAGUAACCGAAAGCAGCACUAGCUUAGGCUCUAACCCGAGUAGCAUGGGGCACGUGGAAUCCCGUGUGAAUCAGCAAGGACCACCUUGUAAGGCUAAAUACUCCUAGGUGACCGAUACCGAAGAAGUACCGUGAGUAAAAGGUGAAAAGAAUUUCCAUCAAGAAGUGAAAUAGAACAUGAUA